rnacentral:rRNA from 1 species
CAGCAGCCGCGGUAAUACGGAGGAUCCAAGCGUUAUCCGGAAUCAUUGGGUUUAAAGGGUCCGUAGGCGGUUUGGUAAGUCAGUGGUGAAAGCCCAUCGCUCAACGGUGGGACGGCCAUUGAUACUGCCAGACUUGAAUUUUUGUGAAGUAACUAGAAUAUGUAGUGUAGCGGUGAAAUGCUUAGAUAUUACAUGGAAUACCAAUCGCGAAGGCAGGUUACUAACGAACGAUUGACGCUGAUGGACGAAAGCGUGGGGAGCGAACAGGAUUAGAUACCCUGGUAGUCCACGCCGUAAACGAUGGAUACUAGCUGUUCGGAGCAAUCUGAGUGGCUAAGCGAAAGUGAUAAGUAUCCCACCUGGGGAGUACGUUCGCAAGAAUGAAACUCAAAGGAAUUGACGG